AUGCUUAAAAUCGAUCUUGCAAAAGCUUUUGACAGAAUCGAGUGGAAUUUCAUUUGCUCUGCUCUUGUACGUAAGGGGUUGCACAGCCAUUUCAUAAAUCUUAUAUAUGCUUGCAUUUCUUCUCCCUCUUUUUCUGUGAUCAUAAAUGGGCAGCCUUUUGGAUGUUUCAAAAGUUCUAGGGGUAUACGACAAGGAUGUCCUUUGUCUCCAUAUCUUUUUGUCCUUGCUGCUAAUGAGCUCUCAAUGGCCCUACAGAAUGCACUACAAGCCAACCAGCUCUCAGGUAUAUCCUUAGGUCCAAACUGCCCUCCUAUCCACUCGUUAAUGUUUGCUGAUGACUUGUUGAUAUGUGGAAAAGCUAAUAUGCAGGAAGUUCAAACUAUUUCCCAAAUUUUACAGCAAUUUGGCCACCUUUCGGGGCAGCUUCCCAACUGGAAUAAGUCAGCCAUUAUAUUUAGUACAAACGUUUCUUUGCAGGAAAAACAGGAUAUCAGGAACUUAUUUCCAGUGCCAGAUAUGGAUAACUCCUUCACCCAUUUGGGUCAUCCUCUUAUUCUUCCGGCUAAGGAUAGAGCUAGAGCUUAUAAUUUUGUGUACGAUAAAUUUAAGUCGAAGCUCUCUACUUACAAAGCUAAUAGGCUUUCACAUGCAGCUAGAUUGACCUUGAUCAAAUCUGUGUUCUCUUCAAUUCCUGUCUACUACAUGUCCAACAUUUUGUUUUCUAAGAAAUUUCUUGCUAGGCUCACAUCUAUCAUCAGGAAUUUUUGA
rnacentral:rRNA from 1 species